rnacentral:rRNA from 1 species
AGUGAACGCUGGCGGUAGGCCUAACACAUGCAAGUCGAACGGCAGCACAGUAAGAGCUUGCUCUUACGGGUGGCGAGUGGCGGACGGGUGAGGAAUACAUCGGAAUCUACUUUUUCGUGGGGGAUAACGUAGGGAAACUUACGCUAAUACCGCAUACGACCUACGGGUGAAAGCAGGGGAUCUUCGGACCUUGCGCGAUUGAAUGAGCCGAUGUCGGAUUAGCUAGUUGGCGGGGUAAAGGCCCACCAAGGCGACGAUCCGUAGCUGGUCUGAGAGGAUGAUCAGCCACACUGGAACUGAGGCACGGUCCAGACUCCUACGGGAGGCAGCAGUGGGGAAUAUUGGACAAUGGGCGCAAGCCUGAUCCAGCCAUACCGCGUGGGUGAAGAAGGCCUUCGGGUUGUAAAGCCCUUUUGUUGGGAAAGAAAAGCAGCAGGUUAAUACCCCGCUGUUCUGACGGUACCCAAAGAAUAGGCACCGGCUAACUUCGUG